AUGAACGCUAGCGGGAGGCCUAACACAUGCAAGCCGAGCGGUAUUGUUCUUCGGAAAUGAGAGACCGGCGCACGGGUGCGUAACGCGUAUGCAAUCACCUUUUGCAGAGGAUAGCCCAGAGAAAUUUGGAUUAAUACCUCAUAGUAUAGAACAAUCGCAUGAUUGAGCUAUUAAAGUCACAACGGCAAAAGAUGAGCAUGCGUCCCAUUAGUUUGUUGGUAAGGUAACGGCUUACCAAGACUACGAUGGGUAGGGGUCCUGAGAGGGAGAUCCCCCACACUGGUACUGAGACACGGACCAGACUCCUACGGGAGGCAGCAGUGAGGAAUAUUGGACAAUGGGCGCAAGCCUGAUCCAGCCAUGCCGCGUGCAGGAAGACGGUCCUAUGGAUUGUAAACUGCUUUUAUACAGGAAGAAACACCUCUACGUGUAGAGACUUGACGGUACUGUAUGAAUAAGCAUCGACUAACUCCGUG
rnacentral:rRNA from 1 species